rnacentral:lncRNA from 1 species
CUCCUAUAUAUGCUCUCCAAAGCACAAAAUUUUUCGUACUUUUAAAUUAUUUUCGAUGAUCAGACAGUAUAUUCAACAAUUUGCUCUUUUACAUAUAAUCUAUACUGUUAAAACUAACUAGAAAUUAAAUUUCAUAAUUUUUCGAUAUUAUUUGAUAAGUGAUCAAAGGGUCUUAAAAAUGACUAUUUAAUGGCCAAUGAGACACGUUUGAAAGUUCAACGGUGCGGAACAAUUCAAAUCAUGUGAAUAUUUAAUAAAAAAAUUUACUUCCCAUCAAGGGCAAGAUAAAUAUUUUCAAUUUGAAAUUUUUAAGUCUUGUAUCAUUAUUUUUAUGAAAUUUUUAUAUUCAGUCGUUUAUUUUGAGACCACUCGUUCACUAAGCAACGAAAGUAAAAAUUAGUUUUAAAAUUUAGUUUCGAAACAGUUCCAAUACUAUAGAUUGUACCUAACUGAGACGAUCGCUGAAUCGGAUGUUCCAUCAUAAAAAAUAAUUUAAAAAUACAAAAACUUUUGUACUUUCUAAUUAAA